rnacentral:rRNA from 1 species
GAUGAACGCUGGCGGCGUGCCUAAUACAUGCAAGUCGAGCGAACGGACGAGAAGCUUGCUUCUCUGAUGUUAGCGGCGGACGGGUGAGUAACACGUGGAUAACCUACCUAUAAGACUGGGAUAACUUCGGGAAACCGGAGCUAAUACCGGAUAAUAUUUUGAACCGCAUGGUUCAAAAGUGAAAGACGGUCUUGCUGUCACUUAUAGAUGGAUCCGCGCUGCAUUAGCUAGUUGGUAAGGUAACGGCUUACCAAGGCAACGAUGCAUAGCCGACCUGAGAGGGUGAUCGGCCACACUGGAACUGAGACACGGUCCAGACUCCUACGGGAGGCAGCAGUAGGGAAUCUUCCGCAAUGGGCGAAAGCCUGACGGAGCAACGCCGCGUGAGUGAUGAAGGUCUUCGGAUCGUAAAACUCUGUUAUUAGGGAAGAACAUAUGUGUAGGUAACUAUGCACAUCUUGACGGUACCUAAUCAGAAAGCCACGGCUAACUACGUG